CCUACGGGUGGCAGCAGUGAGGAAUAUUGGUCAAUGGGCGUAAGCCUGAACCAGCCAAGUCGCGUGAGGGAUGAAGGUUCUAUGGAUCGUAAACCUCUUUUAUAAGGGAAUAAAGUGCGGGACGUGUCCCGUUUUGUAUGUUCAUUAUGAAUAAGGAUCGGCGAACUCCGGGCCAGCAGCAGCGGUAAUACGGAGGCUACGAGCGUUAGCCGGAUUUAUUGGGUUUAAAGGGUGCGUAGGCGGCCUGUUAAGUCUGCGGUGAAAUUCUGUGGCUCAACCAUAGAAUUGCCGUUGAAACUGGGAGGCUUGAGUAUGUUUGAGGCAGGCGGAAUGCGUGGUGUAGCGGUGAAAUGCUUAGAUAUCACGCAGAACCCCGAUUGCGAAGGCAGCCUGCCAAGCCAUGACUGACGCUGAUGCACGAAAGCGUGGGGAUCAAACAGGAUUAGAUACCCGGGUAGUC
rnacentral:rRNA from 1 species